rnacentral:rRNA from 1 species
UGGGGAAUAUUGCACAAUGGGGGAAACCCUGAUGCAGCGACGCCGCGUGAGCGAAGAAGGUUUUCGAAUCGUAAAGCUCUGUCCUAUGAGUAGAUAAUGACGGUAUCAUAGGAGGAAGCCCCGGCUAAAUACGUGCCAGCAGCCGCGGUAAUACGUAUGGGGCGAGCGUUGUCCGGAAUUAUUGGGCGUAAAGGGUACGUAGGCGGUCUAUUAAGUCAGGUGUGAAAGCGUGAGGCUUAACCUCAUUAAGCACUUGAAACUGAUAGACUUGAGUGAAGGAGAGGAAAGUGGAAUUCCUAGUGUAGCGGUGAAAUGCGUAGAUAUUAGGAGGAAUACCGGUGGCGAAGGCGACUUUCUGGACUUUAACUGACGCACAGGUACGAAAGCGUGGGGAGCAAACAGG